CCGAGUUUACAACUCCCAACCCAAUGUGAACCAUACCAAACUGUUGCCUCGGCGGGGUCACGCCCCGGGUGCGUCGCAGCCCCGAACCAGGCGCCCGCCGGAGGGACCAACCAAACUCUUUCUGUAGUCCCCUCGCGGACGUUAUUUCUUACAGCUCUGAGCAAAAAUUCAAAAUGAAUCA
rnacentral:misc_RNA from 1 species